CAAACAGAACACCCACUAGACACCUUGGGUGGAGGACUGUGUGAAUUCUCAUGCAAAGGAGUAACUUUUCCAUGUUCUGGUGAGGAGCAAAAGUAAAACCCUCCUAGAUUGUGGACCAAAGAUGAGAAUCUAGACCAGGCCUGCACAACAUAUGGCUCACGGGCCAGAUGCUCCCCAUAAAGGCCUCCCCUGCAGCCCACGGAAAGGGCUUGGCUUCCCCUUUGGUGAUUGUAGCUCUCGGCAGUAGGCACACAGGCAGGUGGAGGCUCACUCACUGGCGCACCUGCUGGUGAGAGCUGCAGGACCCACUCACUAGCUCAUAGAAGAAAGGCGAGCAGGACAUUGGUAAACUGAGGGAAAAUAUCAUUCAUGCACCUGGAAAAAGAAGAGGAAUGUGCAUACAAGAGAGUGCCAGCAGAGAACAUGAGUAUACUACCACCAUCACGCUUAGGUCCUCUGUGGUGCAGCUACUCUAACCAGCCAGAACCCAACUGGCGACCACCCAGAUCACCCAGAGGACCUUUUCAUCGGCUGCCCCAAGACUGUGGAAUGACCUGCUGGAAGCUCUCCAACAGCUAAAUGAGCUGUUGGAAUUUGAAACUCAUCUAAAGACCUAUUUCUUCUGGCAGGCCUACUCAGCCAGUUUUAAUCAUGAAUUUUAAACGUGUGUCCUGUGUUUUAAUCUUUGUUCUGUGUAUUUUAAUAUGUGUUUUAUAGAAAUACAUUUUAAUAUGUAUAUUUUAUAGAAAUACAUUUUAAUAUAUGUAUUUAUAGAAUCUUUACGAUGAUUAUGUGCCAGAGCUAAGAGGGGGCCAUGAAGAGACUUCCAUCUUGUCUUUUUACAUCAGCUGAGGCCCCUCCCACCAUCUCCAACUGACGCUCGGGUGCCGGAGCUAAGAGGGGGCCAUGAAGAGACUUCCAUCUUGUCUUUUUACAUCAGCUGAGGCCCCUCCCACCAUCUCCAACUGACGCUCGGGUGCCGGAGCUAAGAGGGGGCCAUGAAGAGACUUCCAUCUUGUCUUUUUACAUCAGCUAGAGGCCCCUAUCCACAAUAACAUGCUAUGCUAGUUUUAUAUCUGGAGCAGAAUGAAGGGGCCGGGAAGACAUCUUUCCACCAUGUCUCCUGUAUCAAUUUAAUGAUAUAAUGAUAUAUAAUAAUAUUAUACUACACUAAUAUUAUAAUACAUUGUAUAUACAU
rnacentral:lncRNA from 11 species